UACGUAGGGUGCGAGCGUUAAUCGGAAUUACUGGGCGUAAAGCGUGCGCAGGCGGUUCGGAAAGAGAGGUGUGAAAUCCCAGGGCUUAACCUUGGAACUGCACUUUUAACUACCGGGCUAGAGUACGUCAGAGGGGGGUAGAAUUCCACGUGUAGCAGUGAAAUGCGUAGAGAUGUGGAGGAAUACCGAUGGCGAAGGCAGCCCCCUGGGAUGAUACUGACGCUCAUGCACGAAAGCGUGGGGAGCAAACAGG
rnacentral:rRNA from 1 species